AGGGGAUAUAGUCAGUGAUAUUUUAAUAGUCUUGUAUGGUGACAGAUGGUAGCUGCACUCAUGGGGAGCAUAGUACAUAGAGUUGUGGAACCAAUAUGUUGUACACCUGAAACUUAUGUAACAUUAUGUGUCAACUAUACCUCAAUAAAAAAAAAUAGAAUUUGUAAAUAAGAAGAAAAAUAAAUAAAAUUAACUGCUACUAAGAAAACAACAAAGGUUCACACCUUAGGAUAGUUUUCUUGAAACAUUUUCCAAAACAUCACAAUUCCUAAAUUGAGAACCAUAGUGUAAAUCCAGGGAGAAAUUCUACCUCAAAUUUGACUAAAUAUCUAGAAGUAAUGAUUUUCUCUUUGUUCACACUCGUGUAGGGGUUUUUUAAUUUAGAUGUCAUUAACAUUCAGAUUUUAAAUUUGAUAGACAUAAGCUAUAAAGACAGCCCACCUGUAGAGAUGUGACCAAAAUGGGAUUCUUACUGCACACACUCAUUCCAGAACACAAGAGAAUUUCAGCUUGUUCUCAAAGAAUACCAAAAUAGAAAGAAAGAAAGAAAGAAAGAAAGAAAGAAAGAAAGAAAGAAAGAAAGAAAGGCAGGCUCUUAAGCUCUCCUAAGCACAUAAUCAGAUCUUUCCGUCUCUUAUGGGGACUAUUGUUUGGGUAAAAGAAUAAUGGUAGGAGGAAACAUAAAUUCAAGGAAGGUUGAAUUCCCACAAGGAGAAUAAAUGAAUCAAUGGCAUCACAUUUCAAAGAAAUUUUAAUAAGUAUCACCAAAACUGCCUCCAGAAGGAAAUACCUGUUUAUAUUCUCAACAACAAUAUAUGAAUGACUGGUUUUCUAACCCUUAAAAUUACUGGAAGAUUUUGGUAGAAAAACUUUAUACUUACGUUUUUUUAUUGUGGUAAA